AUAAAAUUUUAUUUUUGUUAAUAAAUUUAUUUUAAAAUUUUUUUACAUGUAAUAUUUAAAAUGAAUAAUUAAUGUUUUAAAAAUAAUUAAUAUUUAUUUUUAUUCGCAGUGAUUAAUUUUGUAAAACUAAUAAUAGUUAGAUACAGAAAUUUUUUUUUGUAUUGGUUAAAUUUGUGCCAGCUACCGCGGUUAUACAAAUAAUAGAAAUAAAUUUUAUUAGUAUUAGUUAAAUAAAAUAAAUAAUUUAAAAUAAAAUUGAAUUUUUUAGGUGAAAUUUUAAAAUUUAAUUUAUUUUAAAAAAAAGAUUAUUUUAAGCUAUGAAAUUUUAAAUUAAAACUAGGAUUAGAUACCCUAUUAUUUAAAAAGUUAAAAUUAAAUACUAAAAUAUUAAUAGAUAUAAUCUUUAAAUUUAAAAAAUUUGGCGGUAUUUUAGUCUAUUCAGAGGAAUUUGUUCUAUAAUCGAUAAUCCACGUUUACCUUACUUAAUUUUAUUUAAUUUGUAUAUCGCUGUCGUCAGAAUAUCUUAAAAGAGAAAAUAAUUUUCUUAAUUUAAAAGUUUUAUUAAUGUCAAGUCAAGGUGCAGUUUAUAAUUAAGUAGAAAUGAAUUACAAUAUAAAGUAUAUAAUAAAUGAAUAAUUUCAUGAAAAUGAGAUUUGAAAGUGGAUUUGAAAGUAAAUUUAUAAAUUUAUUAAAAUUAAUUGAUUUUAGCUCUAAAAUAUGCACAUAUCGCCCGUCGCUCUCAUUAUAAAAUUUUAAAAUGAGAUAAGUCGUAACAUAGUAGAUGUACUGGAAAGUGUAUCUGGAAAAA
rnacentral:ncRNA from 1 species